CUGGUACUCCCUCCGUCCGAAAAUACUUGUCAUCAAAAUGGACAAAAAGGGAUGUAUCUAGAACUAAAAUACAUCUAGAUACAUCUCCUUUUAUCCAUUUUGAUGACAAGUAUUUCCGGACGGAGGGAGUACCUA
rnacentral:pre_miRNA from 1 species